CCACAGACACUAUAGGUGACUUUGUAUAAAUAUGCGUGUGUCUGGGCGUGUGUGUGUGUGUGUGUGUGUGUGAUUAAGUAUAGGUAUGCGUGCAGGUCCGAGCCACUGCCAAGCUACAGAGCCACAGCCGCAGCGGUAUGAGAACAAGUCUAAAUUGAAUAGACCUCUCAGUAUCAUGGCGACGUUUAAAGCCUUCGUAUUAUAAUAAAAUUUUCGUUGUUGAAGCGUUGGACGGUUUGGUGCUGCGCGUACAAUUUAUAAUAAAUAUAUAUCUAUGCAGUGUUGCUGCAAGCUCUGUACCGUACUUGAAAAUUAAUAGAAUUUUAUAAUAAAAUUCGCUUAACGCUUCAAAGCAUGGAACGCAGCAAACUUUGUGAAAAUUAAAUUGAUUUGAAUGAAUGGAGAAUAAAGAAAGAAAUGUGUGCAUAAAAGUUACACCUAUACGCGCAUAUAACAUUAGUCAUAAGUUGAAUUGGUAUACAAAAAGAGCUUCGGUGAACACUAAGUGACUUCAAGUUUCUUUAAUUUUUUUACGGGUUUGAUGAUGGUUUUUUUCUGAGUGCAAUCAGUGUGUCUAAUGUGUUUUAAUAAAAAUCUUGAUUAAAUUACUUUACGUAAUAUAAGCAUGCAUACCAUGUAGUAUGUACAUAUGUACAUACAUACAUACAUACAUAGACACUACGUACAUAACAUACAUAUAAGCGAGUACAUUAAAAAUUUAUCAAGUGUGAAUAAGUGCGAUUCUCCUUUUUUUCGAAACUAUUCACUAUACUCAUUGCUUAGUUGCGAAAGUGAAAUAAUGCCUGCCUAAUGCUCAAUACAAAGAUACAUUUGCAGGCUACAUUAAAAGCGUAAAAGUGUAAACGCGUUGUGAAAAAUGGUGCAUAAGAAUCCGCUCUAAUCUACAAGUAUACCGCAGUAAGUCAAGAGAGCGAAAAAAUCCAGCAUUAAAGAUGGAGUUCCAAGUACAGCGAAUGAAUCAAUGGAGGAGAAGAAGAAAUGAAACAUGGUUAUUGAAAGAAACCAAACAAGCGUAGAUGGAUGUACGUAAAGUGGAGAACGAUGUGUUGUGAGUUUCGGCAGCUUUAGUUAUCUUUAAUUUUACAUUGGCGCUUGCUAGGUUGAAAAUGUUUCGCAAGAUAAAACACGCAACAUCUAUAGUGUGAAUAUAAAUAAGUCAGAAAAAUUUCCAUAGCUUAUACGGAUAUUCAAACAUAGUAAUUCAGCAUGAAACACUUUAAUGCAAAAAUUAUUUUCCGCCUGUGAGCUUGAGAGUUUUGUAAAAUUACAAACGAACAAACUAAUUUCAGCAUAACUUCCAAAUAUGUAUUGCAAUUCGCAAUAGUUAACAUCAAUUCGCUAUGUAGUACAGCGUAACAAUUCUAAAAAAACAACUAA